rnacentral:rRNA from 1 species
AUUGAACGCUGGCGGUAUGCCUAACACAUGCAAGUCGAACGGCAACAGGCGAUGGGCUGGCUACUACUGGUGACGAGUUGCGUACUGCUGAGGAAUGCGUCGGAAUCUACGUUAUCGUGAGGGGAAACGUAGGGUAACAUCCCCUACUACCUCAUGCUGCAUACAGGGGACAGCAAGGCAUCGUGGGACCUUGCCCGCUUACGUGAGCCGAUGUCGGAUUAGGUAGUUGGUGGGAUAAAAGCUUACCAAGGCGACGAUCUGUAGCUGGUCUGAGAGGAUGAUCAGCCACACUGGGACUGAGACACGGCCCAGACUCCUACGGGAGGCAGCAGUGGGGAAUUUUGGACAAUGGGCGCAAGCCUGAUCCAGCCAUGCCGCGUGCAGGAUGAAGGCCUUCGGGUUGUAAACUGCUUUUGUACGGAACGAAAAGCCUUCUUUUAAUACAGGAGGGUCAUGACGGUACCGUAAGAAUAAGCACCGGCUAACUACGUG